GUUUUAAUAGUUUAAUGAAAAUUUUGGUCUUGUAAACCAAGGAUGAACUCCAUCUUAAAACU
rnacentral:tRNA from 1 species